UUUAAGGUGACAGAAUUAAUGUGAUGAGCUUAAAAUUCAUAAAUGAAGGCUUCUUCUCUUAAAA
rnacentral:tRNA from 1 species